rnacentral:rRNA from 1 species
CAGCCGUAAACUAUGCGCGUUAGGUGUAUCGGUGACCACGAGUUACCGAGGUGCCGAAGGGAAACCGUGAAACGUGCCGCCUGGGAAGUACGGUCGCAAGGCUGAAACUUAAAGGAAUUGGCGGGGGGAGCACCACAACAGGUGGAGCCUGCGGUUUAAAUUGGACUCAACGCCGGGAAGCUCACCGGAUAGGACAGCAGAAUGAUUGCCGGGCUGAAGACCCUGCAUGACUAGCUGAGAGGUGGUGCAUGGCGUCAGUGACU